AGUUUAGCUAAUGUUGCCCGUACCGUAAACCGACACAGGUGGGUGGGAUGAGUAUUCUAAGGCGCGUGGAAGAACUCUCUUUAAGGAACUCUGCAAAAUAGCACCGUAUCUUCGGUAUAAGGUGUGGUUCGCUUCGUAUUAGGAUUUACUCCGAAAGCGAAGAAACUUACAACAAAGAGUCCCUCCCGACUGUUUACCAAAAACACAGCACUCUGCUAACUCGUAAGAGGAUGUAUAGGGUGUGACGCCUGCCCGGUGCUCGAAGGUUAAUUGAUGGGGUUAGCAUUAGCGAAGCUCUUGAUCGAAGCCCGAGUAAACGGCGGCCGUAACUAUAACGGUCCUAAGGUAGCGAAAUUCCUUGUCGGUUAAAUACCGACCUGCAUGAAUGGCGUAACGAGAUGGGAGCUGUCUCAAAGAGGGAUCCAGUGAAAUUGUAGUGGAGGUGAAAAUUCCUCCUACCCGCGGCAAGACGGAGAGACCCCGUGGACCUUUACUACAGCUUGACACUGCUAUUUGGAUAAGAAUGUGCAGGAUAGGUGGGAGGCUUUGAGUAUAUGACGCCAGUUGUAUAUGAGCCAUUGUUGAGAUACCACUCUUUCUUAUUUGGGUAGCUAACCAGCUUGAGUUAUCCUCAAGUGGGACAAUGUCUGGUGGGUAGUUUGACUGGGGCGGUCGCCUCCCAAAUAAUAACGGAGGCUUACAAAGGUUGGCUCAGAACGGUUGGAAAUCGUUCGUAGAGUAUAAAGGUAUAAGCCAGCUUAACUGCAAGACAUACAAGUCAAGCAGAGACGAAAGUCGGUCUUAGUGAUCCGGUGGUUCUGUGUGGAAGGGCCAUCGCUCAAAGGAUAAAAGGUACCCCGGGGAUAACAGGCUGAUCUCCCCCAAGAGCUCACAUCGACGGGGAGGUUUGGCACCUCGAUGUCGGCUCAUCGCAUCCUGGGGCUGGAGCAGGUCCCAAGGGUAUGGCUGUUCGCCAUUUAAAGCGGUACGCGAGCUGGGUUCAGAACGUCGUGAGACAGUUCGGUCCCUAUCUGCCGUGGGCGUAAGAAGAUUGAAGAGAUUUGACCCUAGUACGAGAGGACCGGGUUGAACAAACCACUGGUGUAGCUGUUGUUCUGCCAAGAGCAUCGCAGCGUAGCUAAGUUUGGAAAGGAUAAACGCUGAAAGCAUCUAAGCGUGAAGCCAACUCUAAGAUGAAUCUUCUCUAAGCUCUCUAGAAGACUACUAGUUUGAUAGGCUGGGUGUGUAAUGGAUGAAAGUCCUUUAGCUGACCAGUACUAAUAGAGCGUUUGGCUUAUCUUUAAUAAAGCAU
rnacentral:rRNA from 2 species